AUGUUGCAGUUUUGGUGGGGUGACGAGGGCAAUAAGAAGAGGAUGCAUUGGAUGGCAUGGUGGAAAAUGUGUGUUCCAAAAGAUCAAGGAGGUAUGGGCUUCUGAGAUAUACAAUGUUUCAACCUGGCGCUAUUAGCUAAACAAGCGUGGCGUCUUCUCGAGAAUCCAGAAUAUUUAUGUGCAACCAUCUUGAGAGCUAAAUAUUUCCCUGAGGGAGAUUUGAUGAACGCAAGUUUAAAGAAGGGAUCCUCCUUUACUUGGCAAAUCUUUAUGGCGGGA
rnacentral:rRNA from 1 species